GGACUAACGCCUCCACGCUUCUUUUAUGCCUACUGUGUGUUGGCACCUGCUGGCUGUGGGGGACAGAGGCAUGACACUCCUUGCCUCCUGGAACUUUCUGCACAGUGGAGAAGGCAGAUAAUUAUCAGAUUAUCUGAUCAUCAAAUACAAAUGCAUUGUCACGAGCUUUGAUCAGCGCUAAGAAGAAAAGCUACCUGGGACUGCAAGAAUGUUACAGACAUCAGGUGAUGGAAAGAGCCUGGGAGGAUGUACUCCAAAAUUUUAAAGGUGGAGUAAGAUUUCAGUACGCAGGCCUCUCACUGUUGUGGCCUCUCCCGUUGCGGAGCACAGGCUCCGGAUGCACAGGCUCAGCGGCCAUGGCUCACGGGCCCAUACGCUCCGCGGCAUGUGGGAUCUUCCCGGACCGGGGCACGAACCUGCGUCCCCUGCAUCGGCAGCCGGACUCUCAACCGCUGCGCCACCAGGGAAGCCCUGAAUGUUACUUUUUAUGGCAAAAGGAACUUUGCAGUUAUGAUUUAGUUAAGGAUCUUGAGUUGGGAAGAUUAUCCUGGAUUAUCUGAGUGGGCUCAAUGUAAUCACAGGAGUCAUAAGAUGGAGGCAGAAGGAGGUUUGACCACAGAAGAGGAGAAGGCAGAGACAAUGACAGAAACAGACUGAAAGGAUGCACUUUGAAGAUGGAGGAGGGGACCACAAGCUAAGGAAUGCAAGUAACUAGAAGUUGAAAAAGGCAAAGAAACAGCUUCUCCCUGGGAGCCUCCAGCAGGAACCAGCCCUGCCAACACCUUGACUUUAGCCUAGAGACUGACUUCAGACUUCUGACCUCCAGAAC